rnacentral:rRNA from 1 species
UACGUAGGGGGCUAGCGUUGUCCGGAAUCAUUGGGCGUAAAGCGCGCGUAGGCGGCCAGAUAAGUCCGGUGUGAAAGCCACAGGCUCAACCUGUGAAUGCCGCUGGAAACUGUCUGGCUAGAGUCCGGGAGGGGCGAGUGGAAUUCCUGGUGUAGCGGUGAAAUUCGUAGAUAUGGGGAGGAACACCGGUGGCGAAGGCGGCCACCUGGACGGUGACUGACGCUGAGACGCGAAAGCGUGGGGAGCAAACAGG